AGGACAGAAGGCGUGGCUGGGGACGCUGGAGGGUUGGGGUGGGGAGGCCGACGGGAUCCGCAGCUUGCAGCGUCGGUUCGGUACCCUCGGAUCUCCUCUAGGAGGAUGUAGGAUGAGACGGGCUUUUUUUCCUAGACACAGGGCAAGCUGGAAGCACUGGAGAAUUCAUUGGCCCAGAUGCAGGCUUCAGCCAAAGUGUGCAGAAGAACCAGCUUACUUUUUCAAGAAAAAGAAAUCUGGAACCUGGUUUAUUUUGCCUAAUGCUUUGGAUAAACCAAUCCAAAUCAGGUAAGUUGUCAGUUGUUUACAGUUGGAAGUCAGAUGUAGAACAGAUACCUAGAUCCAAUAAUUCUAUUAUCCAACAUUGUACAUCUACCCUAAUUUUCUAAGUUUCAAGAGCAAGAAAAAUGAGAAAAUAGUUCAUACUUACACUUUCAUUUUGGGGGCAGGGGGUGCACACCCAUUUGGCAACCUUGUGCCUCUCCAGCUUGCUCAGCACAUAAUGGCCCAUCCUCUGUUACAUAAAUCUUGCAGCCCAGACUGUACAUUUCUAUUAGGAAUAGUUUUGAAAUUUUAGGAAUUAAUUUCUUUUGGGAAAUACCUAAAUUCAGCUAUGAAUUAUGUUUAUGUAUAAAUUGUAAAAUAUACUCUGGAGUCACACAUCUCUACUGAAAGGAAAUGGCAGCUCUCUGCUCUAUGCCGGAAAGGGUAAGUCACCAGAAAUGGGUUUUGUUCUGGCUUAUUCUGUCAAGUACAUUUGUUUUAAAAAAUAUUUUAAUUUUGCUAUUUGACAUCUAGGGAAGAAAUCAUCAGCCAUACUAAAAUUAUUUAAAUCUAGCCAAGAGGAAAUUAGAGUGGACAAUCUUAGAAAUGUGUCAUUUUUAUUUUUUGAGACUUUGUACAAAUAAUAUGUCUUUCCCCAAAUAUAUUCAGAUUUAAUUACAAAAGGCAAGUCUGUAAAUGGACUAUAUCCCAGAUGGCAUUUUUAUUUUUAUUUCCUUGAGGUAUAACAUAACAAGACAGACACAAUAAGAGGCCUACAACUGUGAGAAAAAUGAUAUGGUUAUGAAAAUGUAAUUUGCUUUUAGUAUUUUAUUUUAAAAAGUCAAAUGGAAAGAAAAACUACUCAAUAAAAUAUAUUUGAAUUUACGAAGUUAACUUCUGCUAGGCUGUUUUCCAAACCGCUCAGAAGAUUGAAAGAGCUGCAAUAAUCCUAUUCCUCACUGGAUUAAAUAUUUAGCACAGCCAUCUAAGGUUAAGUAUCUUCUUUAUGUAAACUGCCAUAUUUUUCCUAUUUUUUCAUACUUGAUUCUAUUAGUAUGUGUGUCUUUUUAAUAAACGUAAACUUAUUUGACUUUAAUUUUUUUCUUGAGUUUAAUAUGCUUUUUAAACAAGUGAGCCUCAGAGAAUUAUAAUGAACCUUAAUUAUAUAUGUUGAAAAAUACUUUUACAGCUUAAGAAGAGCUAUACAAAUAUGAAAUGAUCAUUGUUAAUUGCACAGCAUGUCUUAUAUAAUGAGUUUCAAAUAAAUAAUCAGUAUCACAUGAAAAACUGUAAUUAUGUUAUUUAGCUCACAUGUAUAAUUCAAAAUAAGUACUUCAGCUAAGUAAUAUUUGCAUAGUCCAAGCAGAAUUUUUUUCCUCUUUAAUAUAUUUAAUGUUAAGACAAAAUCUGUAUGGAAAAGAAAUCUUGUUUAUGAAUUAUGGUAAGGCAUUAAAAAGUUUGUUCAGCUGAGAAGUCAGAUACCUGUAUGUACUUAUUCUUUAUGUAAAGAUAUGACUUAAGUGUGAUUGUCAUUGAUUUUUUGACAAUUUAAUGCUAGAUCCAAUUUAUAAAAGUAACUCAGAAUAGCAAUUUAAUACUGUCAAUUGCUUGACUAAAAUGAACAGAUGACAUUUUUUUAUUUCCCAAAGCAGUUGCUCAAACCAAAUAGGACAAAUUGGUUUUUAAGAUUUUACUUUUGGCUCACAACCUUGGCAACCCUUGGUCUGCAGAAAUGUCUUACCAUUUUCCCAUUUGGAGUUAACUGAUGUAUAAUUAGUGUGCCCAUCAGUUAUACCAAUGGCAGAAAUGCUAUAAGGCAAGGGAAGGUAGCUCUCACGAUUAAGAAAAUAAUCUAGACUCAGUUCUGUUUUAAAGGUACAAAACUGGAACUGUAUUUGCCCCUCAGUUGGCACACUUUCAGGGAGUUGAAUUAAACUAAUUGUUUUUAGUAAAUAACUCUAACGUGUAUAUAUUUCAAUCAUCCUAAAUCUUUCUUUUAAUAUAUUUUAUGCAAAAGGUAUUACAUGUUAAAAAUUUACUCCCCCUAUAUACUCUUAGUUCAGAAAUGAGAGAUGCACACAUCCAGGGUGAAAUCAAAAGUCAAUUUGGAGGUGUAAAUUCUAUAAACCAUGUAUAUAAAUUUAAGUUUUGCCAAAACUGUGUUUUUAUACAAAUUCACUGAAAUACAGUCCUCUUUGAAUGUUAGGCAAUACAAAAUUUACAGCAGUGGUAGAUUAUUAGAACAACAUGGCAUAACAUCUUGAUAAAAUUAAAAGUUUCACUGUUAGCCUUCAUAUUCCUAAAGAAAAAUUCUCAUGCAACACAUGCAGGCUGUAAUCGGUAUGAAACUCCAGUGUUACAGGAUGGUGAAGCAAGAUUUUUGGAUUUUGUAAGAAUACAUUUAUUAAUCUGACAGGAAAUUUGAGCCAGUGCAUUUUAUGAAGAUUUAGAUGUGGACAGUCAGUUGUUAAAUUUUAGCAAAUAAUUUUUAAUAUUACCUCCUAUUUAUCUUUUAUUUUUCCAGUAACUUAGUACAUCACUGUGUUUUCUCCUUUUCAAGGAGAAAGUAAACUUGUCUUUUCAGUUGCAUGAAAAAACAAAAAAACUGAUUGCUUACAUUUAGUUACAAUUUAUAAAGGCAGUACUGCAAAUUCAAACGGGUGGGGGGCAUACAGUCUUCUUUUGUUGUGUGUCUGUGUGCUGAUGGGGACUGGCUUUUCUUCCCAUUGUCCUAGUUUGAAAUGGAAAUGCUGCACUACUGAGAAAAUGCCAUGAAAAUAUAACCCACUGCAUUCCAGGAAAAUAAAUAAGCAAGGCCACCCAAAUUUUCAAUUAGUGCUCAUGCUGAAUGCAGGAAAUGGCAAGAGAUCCGUCCAAGGCGCCCUAGGCCGGGUCGUGGACACGGAGCAGUGACAGGAAGGCUGGAAAGGGAAUCGCAGGCACAGUGUGAAGAUGGCUUGUCUCCAAGGAAAACUGCAUGCUAAUAGGCUAGUACUGACUUCCUAAAGCAGACCAGUGGGUAUUACAUCCUGACCAAGGGUAAGCUUCAAGAUUUGGAAGUUUAAUAGUGAAGUAACACUUGAAAUUUCUGGUGGCAUUACUUAUUUUAUGUCAUAGGCUUAUUAAGCACUCUCAGUAUUCCCCACAAACAGUUUUAACCACCGGAAACAGCACUAUUCUGGACAGUUGGUGAAAAUUACAAAAUGCUUUUGAUUUAAAGUAUUAGGCAUAAGGAUCGAUUAUUUCCCACUUGGUGGCAUUGCUUGCUAACAUACCAGAGCCAGCGGGGGUUCAUGGGGGGAGUGGGGACAACUGGUUCAGAAGCAAAGCAGUUCUGUGAUGUCUCCUGAGUCAGCAAGAGAUGUAGGAACACAGAUUUCUAAGGGAGGUAAAAAGUUAUGAUUUAAAAGCCCCUUUCCUUGAUUGUGUUUUUCUGAAAUGCUCAAAUCACUAGUUUGAGAUUAGUACUUGAAAACCAAAAAAAAGAAUGAUAGAAAACAGUGGAUUCUUCGGGGGAUCAUGUACUCUCCUGCUUUGUCACUCUUUUACUUGCUUUCUGUUUCACUUCUCAGAUCUUCACUAAGCAUUUGGAGUUUUACAGCUCAUCAUAUUAAAGUUAGUUAAGGAAAAAAGAAGAAAAGGGGUUAGUUUUUCAGCAGCAUGGUGUUGGUUGAGCUUACAAAAAAGCCCCUAUCAUUUUGGAUGGAUUUUAACUGUGUUGUGGAUCUAAUUGUUUUUAACUUCAAGCUACACUAAAUUCUUUGAUCACCGUUACACCACACUGAUGAAAAGUAAAUCUACAUAUUUGAUGUAUUCUUACAACCAAGAAGUGAAAUAAUUGAGGAGCUAAUAUGGACUACAAUUAUUAAAAGAAGGAAUAAAAUUCAAGUGAUCUCACCAAGCUAUAAUUAUGUGGGCAGAAAGAGUGAUAUGGGAGAAUCACAUUCUUCAGACCACCCGUCUAUCUCGCACAGGCAGACAGAGCACGUCAUGGGUCCUGUCUCCCAAAAUUUUACCCAGAAUUGACCUUAUGCUAUAUGGCUUUGGAUUUCUUGAUUAGGGCCUAGAGGAUGUUCCUUUAAUGGAGACAUUUAGCUAGCAAAGGAGAACCAGCAUUUUUGAAAAACUCUACGUGACUGACAUCUAUAGGCCAGAGAUGAUGGUGGAAAAUGUUGCACCUAGAAGUGGCAGAUGGCAGUUGAUGGUGCUUAAGUGGCAGAGGCAAGUUGGGCAGAAUUACAAAGAAGCCACAGGAUGAGUGGUAGCCAUGGAUCUACAAUAACGGCUAAUUGAUCUAACUGCUACAAAUGAAAUUGAUGGGAAGCAUAUCAAGGAUAUAAUGUAUAUCAGAGGAAAAAUUCUAAUUUUGGUGGGCAGAAAUCCAACCUAAAUCAUUGUGGUGGGGAUCCAUGUCCUAAUACUAGUGCCUACACCUAAGGCAGUUCCCAGACCCAAGCUUCUAGAAUGAAGGAAAAAACAUUCUCUUAAAGGAAGGACCCUGAAAGGUGGCCCUAGACGUAUUUUGUCAUUCUCCCCCCAGGCCUUCCUAAAAAUACCUGUGCAUUCAUCAGGGCGACUGGACAUUGGGAGAAAUGGAGAUAUCCAGAUGUCUUGUAGAUUAUUUGAUAGUGGCUUCCAAGUGACCUGAAACUCCACCAUGGUCUGCCAGUUAGAGUGGAAGUUUAAGAAAGUCAGGUAAUUGAAGAAUCUUGGUCCAAGUCUGUCCCAGUGAGGCCAGUAGGACCACAGUUUUUCCCCCAGGCCAAGAAUGUAUAUAGAGAAGAAUAUACUUAAUUAUAUAUAUAAUUAGUAUCUGACAGAAUAUUCACUUUUGUUCUCUGGUGAAAAGAUGAAGUGGAAGGGUCUGGAAAUGUGCCUAUUUUCUUGUUCAUUGCAUAAAAAAACAGUAUAAACCAAAAUCAAUAAUGGAGCUCUGGGUGAAUUUCAGAGAUUUCAAAGACUUGAAAUAUGUAUGAUAGUGAUUUCCACUACAUCCCAAUUUAAUUAGCCUCUUAAUCUUAAUUCUGCUAUUGCAAAAUCCAGAUGAUUCAUGGAGAAUACCUGUAGAUGAGUUGUAAUUGAACUUUAGUAAGCAUCAGAAUCACAGCAGGGUCAUUAAAACACAGAUUCCUGGGUUCCAUCCCUAGAAUUUCUGAUUUAGCAGGUCUGGGGUAAAACCUAAGAAUUUCCAUUUCUAACAGGUUCUAGGUGAUAGUAAUCUUGCGGGUCCUGAGACCACUGUUUGAAAACUUCUGUCAAAGAUACCCAAAUUUAUUAAGAUGGAAAUGCUAAUUUCAUUUGCUUAUUUCCUGCCAUAUGAUAUACAGCAUUAAGCUAGAUUAAAAAAAGUUCCCCAUUCUUGAAAACAAAAGUACUCAAAGUAAUUUGCCUUUUAGAGGUCAUAUAUCCUUUCUCUCAUGCUUCUGCUCACUGUCAUAAUGUAAACUGAAGGGAAAUUCAUUAUUCUGAUAUCCCAUAGACCAACAAGGUGGCUCAUCAUAUUGAUGAUAUUAUGCUAAUAGACCUAGAGGGCAGGAAAUAUCAAGCAUUCUAGAUACCUUGAUGACACAUAUAUGUGGCAGAGAGUAGGAGAUAAACUCUGCAAAAGAUAAGGAACCUAAUAAAUUAGUGAUGUGUUUAGAGAUCUUGUGGUCUGGCAUAUAUUGGAAUAUAACCACAAGAAUAAGAGAUAAAUUGAUGUACCUUAUACUGCCUACCAUGAAGAAAGAAUUAUGGUACUAGUGGGAUUUGAAAACUUUGUGCAUCACAUUUUAGGGUGUGGUUAUGGCCCAGUUAGUGGGUAGUCCAUAAAUAAACCUUUUGUUUUUUCAGCCUGGUUGAAGUAUAAUUUGUACAAGGUAAAAUUAAUUAAAUUGAUGAAUUUUUACAAAUGUGUUCAAUUGUGUAACAACCACAAGACAACCAAAAUCAUGAUAUAGAACUUCUCCAUCAUCCUGAAAUGUUCCAUUGGGAUUUCACUCAAUCCCCUUACCCCACCCACUUAUCCCUCAUCUGCCUUCUAUUUAUGGUUUUGGCUUUUCUAAACUUCCAUAUAAUGAGAUCACACUGCAUGUAAAUCCUUUAAAUAUGACAUAUUUUUCUCAGCCUGGGUUUCUGAGCCUGGGUGCCUCAGUCAGUUGGGCGUCUGACUACAGUUCAGGUCAUGAUCUCACGGUUGGUUCCUGGGUUCCUGAGUUCGAGCCCCACAUCUGGCUCUGUGCUGA